AUUGAACGCUGGCGGCAGGCUUAACACAUGCAAGUCGAACGGAACCUUCGGGUUUAGUGGCGAACGGGUGAGUAACACCUAGGAAUCUGCCCUAUUAGUGGGGGAUAACGGCUCGAAAGGGUCGCUAAUACCGCAUACGCCUACGGAGAAGAGGGGAGUCUUCGGACCUCUUGCUAAUAGAUGAGCCUAGGCCGGAUUAGCUAGUUGGUAGGGUAAAGGCCUACCAAGGCGACGAUCCGUAGCUGGUCUGAGAGGAUGAUCAGCCACACUGGAACUGAGACACGGUCCAGACUCCUACGGGA
rnacentral:rRNA from 1 species